rnacentral:rRNA from 1 species
AGAGUUUGAUCCUGGCUCAGGAUGAACGCUGGCGGCGUGCUUAACACAUGCAAGUCGAACGAAGCACCUUGAUUUGAUUCUUCGGAUGAAGAUCUUGGUGACUGAGUGGCGGACGGGUGAGUAACGCGUGGGCAACCUGCCUCAUACAGGGGGAUAACAGUUAGAAAUGACUGCUAAUACCGCAUAAGACCACAGCACCGCAUGGUGCAGGGGUAAAAACUCCGGUGGUAUGAGAUGGACCCGCGUCUGAUUAGGUAGUUGGUGGGGUAACGGCCUACCAAGCCGACGAUCAGUAGCCGACCUGAGAGGGUGACCGGCCACAUUGGGACUGAGACACGGCCCAAACUCCUACGGGAGGCAGCAGUGGGGAAUAUUGCACAAUGGGGGAAACCCUGAUGCAGCGACGCCGCGUGAGCGAUGAAGUAUUUCGGUAUGUAAAGCUCUAUCAGCAGGGAAGAAAAUGACGGUACCUGACUAAGAAGCACCGGCUAAAUACGUGCCAGCAGCCGCGGU